AACGUACUCCGUCCGUCCCAAAAUUCUUGUCUUAGAUUUGUCUAGAUACGGAUGUAUCAAGUCACAUUUUAGUAUUAGAUACAUCAGUAUCUAGACAAAUCUAAGACAAGAAAUUUGGGACAGAGGGAGUAGUUG
rnacentral:pre_miRNA from 1 species